UCAAGCUACAAAGAGCACAAGGGGAAUGCCUUGGCACCGAGAGCCGAAGAAGGACGUGACUAACUGCGAUAAGCUGCGGGGAGCCGUAAGUAGGCUUUGAUCCGCAGAUUUCCGAAUGGAGCAAUCCGGCAAGAGGAAAGUCUUGUCAUCAUAUACUGAAUACAUAGGUAUAUGAGGGGAACCGCCUGAACUGAAACAUCUAAGUAGGGCGAGGAAGAGAAAUCAACUGAGAUUCCGUAAGUAGUGGCGAGCGAACGCGGAAGAGGCCAAACCGAGAGUAGUAAUACUUUCGGGGUUCGGACAGAAUACGGUAUUGUAAAGGUUUAGUGGAAUGGAAUGGGAAGUCCAACCGAAGAAGGUGAGAGUCCUGUACACGAAAAGCCUGAGCAGCCAUCUGUAUCCAGAGUACCGCCGGACACGUGAAACCCGGUGGGAAUACGGGGGGACCAUCCUCCAAGCCUAAAUACUACUCGGUGACCGAUAGUGAAGAAGUACUGUGAAGGAAAGGUGAAAAGUACCCCUGACGGGGAGUGAAAAAGAACCUGAAACCUUGUGUUUACAAGCACCGAAAGCUCAUCAAAGAGCGAUCGGGUACCUUUUGUAGAAUGGUCCGGCGAGUGAAUGUAACCGGCGAGGUUAAGCACUUAAGGUGUGAAGCCGCAGCGAGAGCAAGUCUGAAUAGGGCGUAUGAAGUCGGUUGUAUUCGACCCGAAACCGGGUGACCUACCCAUGGUCAGGUUGAAGUAAAGGUAAAACUUUAUGGAGGACCGAACCGACUCCCGUUGAAAUGGUAGCGGAUGAACUGUGGGUAGCGGAGAAAUUCCAAUCGAACCCGGAGAUAGCUGGUUCUCUCCGAAAUAGCUUUAGGGCUAGCCUUGAAAUAGAUUACCGGAGGUAAAGCACUGAAUUGGCUAGGGGCCGAGAGGUUACUGAACCUUAUCAAACUAAGAAUGCCGGAUAAUCGUUUUUCAGGAGUCAGACAGUGGGAGAUAAGUUUCAUUGUCAAAAGGGAAACAGCCCAGACCCACAGCUAAGGUCCCCAAGUAUAGUUAAGUGGAAAAGGAUGUGGAAUUGCACAGACAACCAGGAUGUUGGCUUAGAAGCAGCCACUCAUUAAAAGAGUGCGUAAUAGCUCACUGGUCGAGUGACUCUGCGCCGAAAAUUUAACGGGGCUAAACUAUACACCGAAGCUUGGGAUACAUCUAAUGUAUGGUAGGAGAGCGUUCUGUAUGGGGAGAAGUCGUAGCGAAAGCGGCGGUGGACUAUACAGAAGUGAGAAUGCCGGAAUAAGUAGCGAGAAUUAAGUGAGAAUCUUAAUGGCCGAAAGUCUAAGGUUUUUGGAGGAAGGUUCGUCCGCUCCAAGUAAGUCGGGAGCUAAGGUCAGGCCGAAAGGCGUAGCCGAUGCACAUACGGUUGAUAUUCCGUAACCAUCUGUAAUUUAAGCAAAGGGACACUUCAAAAGGGUGUGACCCGGGCGUUGGUUGACCCGGGCGUAAGGGACCGAAAUUAGAGUAGGGAAGCACACUUAGCUGAAGGCGAGAAAAGCUUUGCGUAUAGAAGCAGAUGCCCGUACCGCAAACCGACACAGGUGGACAGGAAGAGAAUUCUAAGGCCAGCGGGAGAAGGGUAGUUAAGGAACUCGGCAAAUUGACUCCGUAACUUCGGAAUAAGGAGUGCUCGAAAGAGCCGCAGAGAAUAGGCCCAGGCGACUGUUUAGCAAAAACACAGGUCUCUGCCAAAUCGAAAGAUGAAGUAUAGGGGCUGACACCUGCCCGGUGCCGGAAGGUUAAGAGGAGGAGUGAGAGCUCCGAAUUGAAGCCCCGGUAAACGGCGGCCGUAACUAUAACGGUCCUAAGGUAGCGAAAUUCCUUGUCGGGUAAGUUCCGACCCGCACGAAUGGUGUAACGAUCUGGGCACUGUCUCAACUACCCACCCGGCGAAAUUGUAGUACCGGUGAAGAUGCCGGUUACCUGCGGCAAGACGGAAAGACCCCAUGGAGCUUUACUGUAGCCUGAUAUUGGGUUUCGGAAAUCUAUGUACAGGAUAGGCGGGAGACUUGGAAACAUGAGCGUCAGCUUGUGUGGAGUCGAUGUUGGGAUACCGCCCUUAGGUUUCUGGAAUUCUAACCUGCGGCCGUGAAUCCGGUCGGGGGACAUU
rnacentral:rRNA from 1 species